GACCUGCAUGGGCUAUAUCAGUAGGAAGAUUGACUAAGUUCUUCCUGGUGGAAUGGGUUCCUUCCUGCUUAGUGUAUACGUUGAGUAUGUGAUCACUCAAUUUGUAGCAAGAAGAUAACAUCUCUGACAUCAUUGACUUCUUCUGCAUAUCUUACAGAAGCUCUAAGAAGAAUGGAAGAGAUAACAGAACACAUCUGGAAGAACAAUCUGUUACCUCUGGACAAACCCAGCUAUAGGAUCCGUGGGGCCGAAUACAAAUGAAAAUGCAGAAUCCCUUGUUCAAAGAUUAUUGAAAGUUUCAUGAUGGCAGCAGCAGAACAUUAAACCAAGUGGGGGAUUCUUAUAGGUGCAGGGCACUGUUUGACUAUACAUGUCUCCCACCCAUGAAGUUGGCCCUGCCUCCGGCUGUGCUCCCCACCUUCCUUCCUAUUCAACUACUGAUGUCUGCCAUUCUAUCUUUUACACUUAAACCCUCCCCUUGGUAAGCUUCAAUUGCUCCUCAGUUAUCAGUCACUGUAAUCUCAGUGAAUGUGAGUUUCAUGGAAGCUCACAGCUGAGAGCAGGUUUGAUAUAUGGUAGGAUAGAGAUAAGUCAGGGUUGGGAGAAAGAUGAAGGAUAGCAGGCUACAGGAGGCUGCCAGGGUAUGGCAUGGGGAUCUUGAGUACCUUAUAAGGAAGAUGCCUUUAUUCAGAGUAGGAUUCCUGGAAUGGCCUAGUAGAAGUAGAAGUGGGCUGAAGAAAAGCUUUUAUGUUUUGCGCUUAUGUAGAUUUUGUGUUGUGGUGGACCUUUUUAGAUAGAGUAGAUGGUGGUGGGCUAAAGUGCUGAUGUAGGUAAGUUUGGACGUCUCUAUGCAUGUGCUGAGGACUUCUAAACUGGAGGUAUUAAGGGUGAAAGAAACCACUCCUCUAGUCUGCAAAUGCUAAGGUCCUCUUUUAUGCCUUAACAGAUUCAGUAGCAGUUUACUCAUGCUCAUGUCUAGCAACUCCAAAGAUGGUCCUGGGAAAAGCUUUCACCCUGACUUACAGUAUAGCUAACCAUUACUUAGAAGCUUAGGUUGUGUAUUUUUAAUGUGGGAAAACAAGAAGGAAUCUGAGUUUUCAUAGUAAAACAUCUACUACUCAUAAACCUGUGUGGUAUACAAAUCAUGUUGCUCUCGUCUAUUAAUAUAUAGAAGGAAAGUGUAUUAGUUACACGGAUUAGUGUUGUUAUUAUAAUGCUGCAUAAUAAACAAAACAUCUCUGUAGUAUACAACAAUAAGCAUUUAUUCAGCUUAUACUCUGGAGUUCCCCUAGUCCAGUCGUGGCAUGACAGGGCUUGCUCAUGUAUCUGUCAGCUAGGCAGCUCUGCUGUUCUUGGCUGGACUUGCUUCCAUGAUUGUGUGCCAGCAGGCUGUUGGUUGAUCUAGUCAUUCUUGCAACAUUGGAUGACUUGGUUUCACUCCAUGUGUCUUAUGUCCUCCAGUAGGCCAAACUGGACAUGUUUUCAUGACAAUGGCCGUGGGCAAUAGGUAGGCAGAGACAUAUAAAUAAAAUUUCAGGCUUCUGCUUGCAUCACAUCUGAUAACAUUUAUUGGCUUGAGCAAGUUGCAAAACCAGCCCAGAACAGGAGAGCUUUCCAAAUUCCAAAGGUAAGGAGGUGGACCCUGCCUUUUUAGGGGGAAGAACUGCAAAGGCAUGUGGCAAAAAACAUGGGUAAAGAGAGGAAGGAAGGAUUGGAGUCAUUUAUAGCUUCCAUUUACCAUAGUCUGUCAAAAACUCUGCUAAGACUUGAUGUUUAGAUUACAGUGAUAUACUAAGUUUUUGUUCCUUUAUAUCAUUAAAUGAAGCCGAAUCACCAGAAAAAUCUGACACCUAUAUAUCAGUUUUUAAUGUAUUGUCUCUCAGCUCCAACUACCAUUCUGUGCACUGCUUUGUGAAACUGGAGCUGAACCUGGUAAAGAUUUCUCUUUCUCCAGCUGGCUUGAUGCUAAGCUUUAUCAACAGAGGGUGCUAGAGGGACAUUGUUGAGGGGAUGAUGGCAGGAGGGUGCUUCCCUUCCAGGUUCCAGUCCUCAUUCCUUGUUAUUCAUUGUGAAAGUCAGUAGAUCAGUGUGCAGAUGGCCUAGUGGAGCUGAUCAUCAAGACCAACUCCUCCCUCUCACCUAGGGGCUGUUUUACUGGCAGUUCUGUACACACACUUAGGGAGCUGUCUUCCUACCUAGCUGGACCACUUUUAUAUUUCAGGUCAGAUCUGUUCCCUCUGUUGUUUCUUCCCCUCUGACAGAAAGUGGUAGCCCUACCCUCUUCAAAAUUCUUGGUUCUUCAUUUCCUGUACCCCUUCAGCCUAAUAAUUUUUUUUCCGUAAGUGCUAUUUCUGAAUCUCUUAGAGCAGGGGUUGGUAAACUAUGAUUAGUGGACAAAAUAAGGGGAUAUCAUUCUAUACUUAUCAAACUAGCUAAAUAUUCAGACUUAUGACAACACACUUAUGGGAAGGUUGUGGGGAAGCAAAUAUCCUAAUAAAAUGCUAGAAGUAUACUAUCUUUUGGGAGGUCACUAUAAAAUAUAUAACAUGUAAUUAUAUAUACAAUAUGCAAUAAAACACUUAAAAUGUGCAUAUUCUUCUUAACUCAGCAAUUUAAAAAAUAAUUAAAAGGA
ensembl:lncRNA novel transcript